UUGGUGCAGCGCUGAUGUGAACGCGGGCGGCUGCCCAGCCGAGAGGGCGUCACGCGGCGCGGGAACCCCCGGCCCCGGCUGGCAGCGAGCGGUGCCGCCUUCCCCACCCAGGUCUCUGGUACCUGCUCGGCUGCCUGAAAGAGUUUUGGAGCUGCACGGAAGUGGAUGACAACCUGAGUCUCUAAGGAGAUAACUCCUCUCACACGUUCAUCAGGAAUUGGGUAGAAACAGACAAAAAGCUCUGGCAAUUUCAGCCAGCUUUGCACAGCUGUUCCCAGGGGCAUCCCUCGCUCACAGCCCCUGCCUUGCCUGACCCCAGCCUCUUGGAAAUGAAAGGAGGAGAGAGAAUAAAA